rnacentral:rRNA from 1 species
AGUGAACGCUGGCGGUAGGCCUAACACAUGCAAGUCGAACGGCAGCACAGUAAGAGCUUGCUCUUACGGGUGGCGAGUGGCGGACGGGUGAGGAAUACAUCGGAAUCUACUUUUUCGUGGGGGAUAACGUAGGGAAACUUACGCUAAUACCGCAUACGACCUACGGGUGAAAGCAGGGGAUCUUCGGACCUUGCGCGAUUGAAUGAGCCGAUGUCAGAUUAGCUGGUUGGCGGGGUAAAGGCCCACCAAGGCGACGAUCCGUAGCUGGUCUGAGAGGAUGAUCAGCCACACUGGAACUGAGACACGGUCCAGACUCCUACGGGAGGCAGCAGUGGGGAAUAUUGGACAAUGGGCGCAAGCCUGAUCCAGCCAUACCGCGUGGGUGAAGAAGGCCUUCGGGUUGUAAAGCCCUUUUGUUGGGAAAGAAAAGCAGCAGGUUAAUACCCCGCUGUUCUGACGGUACCCAAAGAAUAAGCACCGGCUAACUUCGUG